GAAAUGCGAUAAGUAAUGUGAAUUGCAGAAUUCAGUGAAUCAUCGAAUCUUUGAACGCACCUUGCGCUCCUUGGUAUUCCUUGGAGCAUGCCUGUUUGAGUAUCAUGAAAUCUUCAAAGUAAAUCUUUUGUUAACUCAAUUGGUUUCUACUUUGUUAUUGGAGGUCUUUGCAGCUUCACACCUGCUCCUCUUUGUUCAUUAGCUGGAUCUCAGUGUUAUGCUUGGUUCCACUCGGCGUGAUAAGUUAUCUAUCGCUGAGGACACUGUAAAAGGUGGCCAAGGUAAAUGCAGAUGAACCGCUUCUAAUAGUCCAUUGACUUGGACAAUACUUUUAUUAUCUGAUCUCAAAUCAGGUAGGACUACCCGCUGAACUUAAGC
rnacentral:misc_RNA from 1 species